rnacentral:misc_RNA from 1 species
GUCUUCCCUGAAGUCUGGU